CUACUAGGUAGACAAGCAGGAAGUCUCUCAACAGCCUUGGUUUGCGGCGGUUGGUUAUGGGACUUCGUAAAAGUAAACCUAUCUACAGCAGUGCUUUGAUGCGGUAGAGAAAUUUAAUUGAAGCCAAGCCUAGUUUUGGUAGUUUCUGACCGGCUCUAGGACUGAAAUGAAUUAGAAACUAAACAUGUAGAAAGCGAUUGAUUCACUUGUUUGGACGGCGGUUCGAAUCCGCCCGACUCCACAA
rnacentral:tmRNA from 1 species